UGUCUUUAACCUCAGCAGAAAUCAGCAAUGCCAGCUUGAGAGCAAACUGAUGAGUUCUAUGCAACGGAGCAAAGAGUCGUUGGCUGGAGUCUUGUAAAUCAGCAGAAGACCAGUGACCGAAUAGAUUCGUAUUUAUUUUCCGGGAGUUACCCCCUUCUUUGACUCUCAGCUUUAAAUUUCAGAAGAGAGAAAAGAGGAAGAAAGUGGCAGAGCCUGGUGAGAGGACACUAGAGAACAUGUCCUUGCUUCACAAUUUGGUUGCCAUAUAAACGUGAAUUGAGUAGAGCUUCCUGAGGUUGCACAGAGGGCUAAACUUCUGCUAGGACCAUGGGAAAAGCCUAGAGGGGCCAAUGGCCAAGGGAUGACCACUUCCAUAGAGGAAACACUCUGACCAGGCCCCACUAGGCACAAGACCCCCUUCUCCAGUGCUGUGUGGAGGUUGGAUUUGAAGAAGAGAAAGCUGGGAGCAAGAGACCAGUAGAGCUGUUGCCGUGGUACAGGCAGAGGCAACAGAAUAACAGGAAUCAAUAUAAACAACCUAAGUGGAAUACCUCGGAAAGAAAGAAAUAUUAUUUUUGCUGAUGCACAAGUUUUAUUCUGAAAAAUCAUGAAGGUCUCCAUUAGGAAAUCAUUCUUCCUUGGCAUUGUGUUGUAUGCUCAACAAAUAGAAGAUGAGAAAACAGAGACCCAGAGAUGUUACAGAACCUGCUCAUCAAGAGUAUCCAGCCAGUGUGACAAUUUAUACGGAAGAAUCAGAUGGCUUUCUGGGUUGUGGAAAUUUCUGCCACCUCCUUCUACCAUAUUGGAACUGGGAGGAUUUCUGGAAUCAUCAGGUUCCACCCGGUGCUUAGAGAAUCUGCUGUUAUCGUGGAGUUGAAGGAAGGCAUUCCAACUCUACACAAAAGUCAGCCAAAGAAGUCGAACCCUGGGCAAGUCACUUAACCUUUCCUGAUUUCAGUUUCCUCAUCUUAAAUGAGGGGGAAGGACUUGGUGAUCUCUAGGGUCCAUUUUAAAAUUCUGCAAGCAUUUUAUAAAUGUCACUAACAAUUUCAGACAAACUUUAGAAUUCCAGAAAUGGAAAUGUCAAUUGAAUAAUGAGUAGCAGACGCCAUGUGGAAGUUCUGUCAUGAUCGUUCUUAAAAAAAUAAGCCUUCUUUGUUUCAUUAGUGACACAGGAAAGCAAGUACCCCAAAGACUUCCUUUAACAAUUGGAAGUCUUUAUCAUAAGACAGAUGCAAAAGAACUGAGGUGUAUUGCAUGAAAAAUGGGAAAUGUGUAUUUAAUAUCAAUUUUUUGUCAUAAAAACACCACAGCCUCAUACCUUAAUUAAUCUAAAUAUUCAGGAGAAUGAAAUAUAUUUUACUGAAGAAUGCUUGAGGCCAACGGUAUCAUUAGCUAAUUGAUCUCUUGCUAAGACAAGUGAUGAAUCAACUUAAAAUAUGUAUUUCCCGACUGUUUAUUUUGAAACAACACCAUUUCCUAAGGAGAAACUUGCAAAUGAAGCACUUCCUAAUUUAACAGGAACAUUCUGAAAAUAAACCAUUAAAGAACGCUCAGUGAAUUCCUAAGCAUAUCAUACAAUGAUUUUAGUUUCCUAAGCCCCAGCGUUUUCAUGUCCUGUGAUAAAAGCGAGAAGUGAAAGGCUCAUGUUUUUUUCAUUUACUCUUUAGAUUAUCUUCGUGAUUUAAUCUUUGUCUGUUCAUGAUCAUUCUUACAAAGUGAGCUUUUCUCCAUGUAUGUUUUCCAGAGAGCUUUUUAAACUUUUCAUUUAUUAAACUAUAAUUUACAAAGUAAACAUACAGCCCGAUGAUUUUUUUUUGCAUAUUAUAUGCCAUGUUAACCACUGCCCAGAUUAGGAUAUAAAACAUUUUCGUCACUUAGAGUGUUCCCUGUGCUCCCUUCUAGUCAAUAACCCUCUUCCCACUGAAGUAGCUGGAAUUCUAAUUCGAUUUCUAUAGACUAGUUUUGCCUGUCCUUGAAAUUCAUAUCAAUGGAAUCAUACAUUAUGGACUCUUGUGUCUGGCUUCUUUCACUUAGCGUGACAUUUUUAGAUUCAUCUUUGUUGUGUCGGUGUCAGUAACUCAUUCCUUUUUAUUGCUGAAUGCAGGGAUAUAAGACAGUUUAUUUAUCCAUUCACCUGUUGAUGGACAUUUGGGUUGUCUGGGCUGUCAUGAAGAAAGCUGUAAUGCAUUUCCUUGUGCAAGUCUUCUUGUGGACAUGUGCACUUGUUUCUUCUGGGUGUACUCCCAGAAGUGGAAUUGAUUUGUUCUAAGGUAGGUAGGUGUUUAAGUUUCUAUGUAUUUUUAUGAACACUGUCUGAGAGUUAAACACCUAUUGUCUAGGUGUACAGAGUUGAGAUCUGCACGUAAGAAAACAAUGGGAUUUCCGGGCACACUCUUUAAUAACCUCCCAGAUCCAGCAUUCGGACAGCAACUAUAUAGACGCUCGAGCAAUUUUUCAGCAGUUACCUGUUCACACAGAGAGGGUGGAUGCACCUCUCCCAUCCUUCAUGGGUGCUGAGGAAGUCCUACCAUCAGGGAGAUUGUUCCCUGGAGAUGAUCAGAUGAUGGUUCAAAACUCAGAUUUGGGGCUUCCCCGG